GACGAACGCUGGCGGCGUGCUUAACACAUGCAAGUCGAACGGAAAGGCCCUGCUUUUGUGGGGUGCUCGAGUGGCGAACGGGUGAGUAACACGUGAGUAACCUGCCCUUGACUUUGGGAUAACUUCAGGAAACUGGGGCUAAUACCGGAUAGGAGCUCCUGCUGCAUGGUGGGGGUUGGAAAGUUUCGGCGGUUGGGGAUGGACUCGCGGCUUAUCAGCUUGUUGGUGGGGUAGUGGCUUACCAAGGCUUUGACGGGUAGCCGGCCUGAGAGGGUGACCGGCCACAUUGGGACUGAGAUACGGCCCAGACUCCUACGGGAGGCAGCAGUGGGGAAUAUUGCACAAUGGGCGGAAGCCUGAUGCAGCAACGCCGCGUUCGGGAUGACGGCCUUCGGGUUGUAAACCGCUUUCGCCUGUGACGAAGCGUGAGUGACGGUAAUGGGUAAAGAAGCACCGGCUAACUACG
rnacentral:rRNA from 1 species